CUAUAAAGGUCUCAUUAUGGGCUGAUCAACAGUCAGUAACAGAGAGAGUCUCUGGACAAGGAAGACCUCACUUGCAGAGGAAGAGGUAACCAUCGUUCAGCACUGUCUGAAGAACCGAACUCAGCAACAGACACAGCGGAUUCACUAUGAAGGCUGUCAUCGUCUUGGCCUCUGUGGUUCUCUGCCUCCACCUGGGCACCUGCAUUGACCCUUCCCUGGACUUGGAGUGGGAGAACUGGAAGAUGAAGCACAAGAGAGUCACCAGGAGGAGAGCUGAUGACCAACAGAAAAGAGAAAUCUGGGAGAAGAACUACGGAGUUAUCGAGAGUCACAACAAGAGAUACAGAGAAGGCAAGGAGACAUAUGAAAUGGGCAUGAACCGAUUUGGA